UAGUAGUUUUAAAAUACCUAGUACCAAGUACUUUGAUAAAUGACCACUCUGCUCCCUCCAAAAAGGAGGUAGGUAUAGAGCUAGUGUUAUUAUUUUUCAGUCUUGUAACUUGACUUCAUUCUUAUCUACUAGCAACAAAAAUACAGUAAAGUAUCUGUUAAUUUUUUGCCUAAGGUGUAAUAAGCUCCAACUUAACUCCCUUUCACAAACUUCUCAAGCACCAAUAUGUGCCAAAUAUACUUCUAGACAUUGAGAAUACAUAAAAGCAACCAGGUCCCUGCAGUUAUGGAGCUGACAGUUCAGAGAAAAAGAGAGAUAAGGUGCUCUAAAGGAAAAAAGAGCGGUUUGUUAGAUUGUGACAUUCAGAAAGGUGUCUCUGAGGAGGUGACAUUUAAACAGAAUUCAAUGCCCCCAAAUCCAGCCAAAUGAUCACCAGUGUGAAACUGAUCAGUGAGAAUUCCAAGGAGUGGGGAAAACAGGCAAAAGUUCUAAAGAACUCACAAGCUGCUAGCCGCUGUGGCACUGUAAUAAUCACCAACCAGGAGACUGAAAUCCCAUAAUCCUGGCAUAAUUACUAGUGCCCUCUUUCACUCCCAAAGGCGUCCGUCCUGGGUUGGUAAUCAAGUGUAUGGUCACCCUACAUACGGGAGAAUUUCUCAAGCAUUUGUGACAAUUUCUAUCAACUGUAUUCAAACAAAGGUUUAAACAGUACACUUGUGCUAGCUUAAAAACAUCACUGGUAAAAAGAAAGCAUCUAGCAUAGGCAUGGAUAAAAAAGAUGCACAAAAUGAAAUCAAACUGACCACAUUUUGCAUCUAAAGAAAAGCUCAUUUAAAGUCUCAAGGUUGGAAUGCCACCCUCCUUCUGUCUAGCCCUACCAUCAGACAGAUUGAGAAGUCUAAAACCAAGUCACUUGGAGGUGGCUUUAAUGAUUUGGACCAGAAGCCUCCUAAAGAAUUAAGUAUAGGAUGCAGGCAUUAUGCUAGGGAGUUAUUGAAGCAGCCAAGUUUUUCAUAAUAAAGCCCUCGGAGUUCUUUAGUCUGAGGACUUCAUAUCAUUUUCUUUGGAGACUCGGGCUUAAGUACCAGUACUUAACACAACUUUCAAUCGGUAUUUUUUUUUUCUUUCCCGGGACAUUCCAAUGUAUAUAAUAAGGGCACACCUGACUGUCCACAAAUACCACUGGGUAAGGUUAAGAAUCUGGAGAUUAGAGAAAUGAAUUCCAAACAGCAACGGAGUCCACAGCACUUACAGGUCAGGGAGGGGAAUCCCACACCAAGACUGAUGGGAAUUCCCCUUCCCUCCUGAGGCGAACACAACUAAGUUAGGUUCCUGACAUUUCUACUUAAGGAAAAAGGCAGGUGGGAGACCAUCUUACUCCACAAAACAUCUCGGGGAGAAGCAGAGACUACCCCGAUGAAUACAGAAUCAAAUCGUCUUGGAAAAUGGCUGCUGCUUUGGACAAAGUGAAUGAUUCCUUAUUCUA